UUAAACACCAGUGGUCACUGUUGUGUAGCACACUAAACACUUGCUCAGGAUUCAGUCAUUCUUGUCUAAUUGAAUUGUUUUUACAUUUCACAAACAUCAUAGAACACUUGUACAAUCCAUGUGCUUUUCCUUAGGGUUUAACAUAUGUUUUACACCAAUAAGACUGCUGGGGGUCCUUAUGAAAUUUUUAGUUCACCGGUGCAAAGAUGUGAUCACAGCCGGAUUGCAUGGAUUUCACUGUGCCAUGAUGUUCUAACUGGGAUUUGAAUGCUGCCUGUCAGUCACCACACCAACGUAACAUAGUCACAUUGCUCUUCCUUCUCUAUUGUCACAUCUGCACUAAUUUAGACUUUACCUACAUCAUGUGACCAUAAUAGACUUUAUCUACAUAAUCAUGUGAUGCAUAAUUAAUUGGACACUGACACAGUGAUCUUCCUGAAGCCCCAUUCCAAUUACAGUGACUUACCCGAAAAUAAAUAAGGAGAUCAAAUGUACAAACACUCAACCAUUCUAAGUUUCCUAGGUUUGUCUGCCGUGAAGCUGACCUAACUCUCCCUGUUGUGACUGCAUUCCCAGUUUCUGCAGUACUAAACAAAAGGUGUAUCAAAACAACCAUGAUCCCGCUUGAUAUGGAUGGACCUCAAGUCAUCUCCAGUACCUCCAGAGAAACACCACACAUUAAAACAGAAGAACAGGGAGAGCUACCCAUGAUGAUGGUGGAGGUGGAGUCUAGAAAACAUGGUAUGUAUUAUGAAAUCUCCUUGUUAAGACACAUUUUAGAAAAGUAUAGUUACUGGGUAUCCUCAUGUCUAAUGCACCACUGUGAUCUAAGCCACCUAUAAGGAAGAACUUGGAUUUUGGUUUUUAAAAAAAGUAGUACCUAAAGUUAAAAAAACUGGGGUUGUCUACUGUCACUGGAUUCAGAGCUGAUCUCUUUAGAUUGUUUGAGAUGUUCUAUACCAGGCUGUGUCUAAAUCUGUUUUUCCCCAAGAUAGGUAUCCUGAUUACUCAGUCAAAUCUCCUGUGACAAACUAAUGAAUUAACAAAUUAGGAUGCACACUUUACCUACAGUAUAUGUGUUUAAAGCCCAUUACAUGUGGUACAUUUAUUUGUUUGUGUGCUACUCUACGGAAGAAUAAACCAGGGCACAGAGGUAAGUGAUGAGGCUGUUCAUGCAGAUCAAGAAACAUUUCAUAGCCCAAGCACUUAGUAAUCCCUAACUUCCAGCAUCCCAGUAUCUGCCUUCAAUAGGUCAAAACUGCAGAGAUCAAGACCCUGUAGUGACUACCACAGAGAGCAAAUGCCCAGAGCAUUACUUCUCAUCUACCUACAGACGUUCAGAAGAAUGAAAGGUUAGAAAGCCCACAGGCUUCUAGUCAGAUCAGCGCUUCUGAGAAUGGGAGAUAGACACUGCAUGGGGAGAUGAGGCAGGGGUUUUUCACUUAGGCUUUUGCUAUACAUGGCUCUUUCCAGUAUUCUCUAUUGUCAUGUUGCCAUGAAUUUAGACUUUACCUACACAGUCCAUGUGUUGCUUAACUGAUUCAGUGAACCUCCUGAAGCUCCAUUCUCACUCUGAUGACUGUACCUGGAAACAAGCCAUCAGAUCAAAUGGAAAAACAUACAACAAUUGUUUUUUCUUUUUCUGUCAUGAGGCUGACAUGACUCCCUGUUAUAAUGCAUUCCCAGUUCCUGAAUUCUUAAGGGAAAUUUGUCAGGAGCAAGCUGUUGCCCCUCAGGAUGUGGAAGGACCUCCCAUCACUGAAGGACCUUCUGCAGAAACAACACCAAUAAAAAUGGAAGGUGCUGUGGGAAUUCCAUAAUUCUGUCCAGUUGUGUAUACUGUUGCUAAUUAUUUUCUUUCAUAUAUAAAUCUAUAGAGAAGCUUAAGACUAUUUUUCCUAUGUAGAAUAAUACUAAUAUAUCUAAGUCUUCAAUGUAUAUACAACCACAGAAUUUAAAAUGCAUCUGAUGUCACCUUGGGCUCUCAUUCAGUAGCAUGAACUGGUGGAAACUGAGGCUCAUCUUGUAUGCGUCAGGGUGGCUUCACCUGGUGUAGACAGGAAUGGGUGAACCACCCUCUCUCAUACUUUCUCUGACAAGUGGGUGAUGCAGAUGGAGUAGAGCUGAUGUUCCUCAAAGUGACCUGGUAAAGUUCCAACGUCUCAUGACUGAGGGUGAAAUUCACCUUAGAUAACAGUGUUCCUGGUUUGAUCCAAUGAGCAAGGAUCCAGGGGUGGUCAUGUUACACACUGUGUUUAGAGGAUCAGGGAGUGGGAAAGAUAUAAAUAAGGACAAGGAAAAUGGGAGGGGGAUAUCCUUUUUUCUCUUUCAAUGGCACAGUGGUAAGCAGAGUCUGGGGAAAGUGUACUUUGCCAUUUGAAGACAGUAUUUCCCAGGAUGUUACUCUUUUUUCAAGGCUUGCUUUUUAAAAUGUAAUGUUUUGAAUAUUUUCCUUUUCUUUUUUGAAAACUUAUACAAUAUAUUCUGAUCUUGAUUUCCCCUUCUCCAUCUCUUCCCAGAUUCUCCCCACCUCACCACCCAUCCACUAUCUUUAUCUCUCACUGUAGAAAAGAAACAGGCAAAUUAAAAAAGAAAACCAAUAUAUAAUCAGUGUAAAAGCACAACAAAUACACACACACUCAAAAAAGCAACAUAAAAACACCAAAUCAGAAACCAUAAUAUACUUGCAAAAGACCAGUAAGACUUUAAAAAUGCCCCCCCAAAAGCAAUAUGAGACCCCAAAAGUCUACAAAACGGUUAAGUAUGUUGUGUG